rnacentral:rRNA from 1 species
GACGAACGCUGGCGGCGUGCUUAACACAUGCAAGUCGAACGGAGUGGCGAACGGGUGAGUAACACGUGGGUGAUCUGCCUUGCACUUCGGGAUAAGCUUGGGAAACUGGGUCUAAUACCGGAUAGUGCAAGAUGAGCUCGCGGCCUAUCAGCUUGUUGGUGGGGUAAUGGCCUACCAAGGCGUCGACGGGUAGCCGGCCUGAGAGGGGGUACGGCCACAGUGAGACUGGGAUACGGACCAGGCUCCUACGUGAUGCAGAGGUGGGGAAUAUUGCACAAGGGGCGGAAGCCGGAUGCAGCGACGCCGAAUGGGGGAUGAAGGCCUUCGGGUUGUAAACUCCUUUCGACAGGGACGCGGUACCUGUAUAAGAAGCACCGGCUAACUACGUGCCAGCCGCCGCGGUAAUAC